rnacentral:lncRNA from 1 species
GGGUCCUUCUCACUGCCUGGGGUCCGAGGCAUAGAGGCCGGGGUGCCGGGUCUGGCCUCGGGGUCCCCGGGCACCGCGGCAAGGCAGGCCGGUCAGGGGGCCACGCCUGGGACGGUGCCCCCCAGCGCUGGCCAAGGGCCUCUGGCCGAGCUCCCCAGUGCGCGGAUCUCAGAGCCCGGCGUCCUGCGCCUCCGGCCCCCGCUGGCCACCGGGACCCAGGCUGCCCGGCCCUAACUGUCUGCCCCGAGGGCCCUGGGAUCGCUGCUGUCCCGCAGGGCAGAGCUCUCCUCCCCGCUGUCCCGCCCGGCGCCUCCACCUGCAGCUGCCCGGGGGGGCGACCCGGGCCACUCACGUGCCAGAUGGCGAAGAAGAUGAGCGCGGCGCACAGCACGAGGGCCAGCAUGUAGCAGAAGGCGGCGAAGGUGAAGGCCAUGGCGCGGCGACCCGCGAGGCUUCCAGCGCCGCGCGCCCAGGUCAGGGCUCUGCUGUCCCGCCCUCCCCCAGCCCUGUGUCACCUUCUGGUGUCUAGAACAACAAACAUCUGGGUAAAGGAGACUGAGAUUGCAGAACCUAAGAACCCCGGCUAGUGCUCAUUAAUCAAAAGCUGUAGUUGAUGCCCCCCGUACACCAGCACUUUGAGGACCCACAGGCUCCAGUCUGUCAGUGCUACUGAUGUGAAUACUGGAUGCAGAUCGUUCUUCAUUCGUGUUGAGACCUGUGGGAUUUGUCACCUGCAGCGGGAACAGUCGCUGAGCAGAAAGUGAUUAAGAAGACGCAGAGGCAGGGAGCUCUCUGCAGACUUAGCAAGUCAGAGGCGCCCCACCUCCCCACCCACCCCCAGGAACCCAGACUGCAGGGAGGACCACUUGGAGCCUCACAGCCAGGAGCCAGGGGUCCCCACAACAAGCUGUGCUGAGCGGCCUCCACCU